rnacentral:lncRNA from 1 species
AAAAUAUCAAUGUAUUUUCAACAUGUGAAUUUGAUAAUAAUAAUAAUAAUAAUAAUAGUGGUUUUAGUAGUAAUAACUUAAAAAAGGAAUACCAUAAUAUUGACAUUGGUAGUAGUAGUAGUAGUAGUAGUGGUGGUCACAAUAAUAACAGUCAUGAUAAGAAUAUAUCAAACAAAACAAGCAACAACAACAACAACAACAACAACAAUAACAAUACCAACAACAACAACAACAACAGCAAUAACGAACAACAUACAAACAAGCAAUUCAUACGAUUAGAUUUGAUAGAAGAACAUGAACAAGCAAUGAUGUCCGAAUUAAAUAUAUUAUUAAGCAAUAAAGACAUAGAUUUAGAAACUAAAAAUAAAAUUAAAGCUUUAUAUAUAGGAGCACACGAAAUAUAUAGGGAAUUAAAAAAUGAUAUAAAAUUAAAUUAUCCUAAAAUUGAUGACAUAAUACAAUUAUAUUAUGAAGAUAAUGUAAUGAAUAAAAAAAAAAAUGAAAUAUGGAAAAGUGUUUGUUUUUAUAAAUUAUUAGCUGAACAGUUAAGCAAUAUACAUAUAUCAACAAUAUCAUCGUAUCGGUUAGAAGGUUUAAAAUCAAUUUACAAAUGGUAUAAUAAAAACAAAAGGAUACUGUUUGGUUAUAUUGAAAAUGUGGAAAGAGGCAUUGGUAGUGGUAGUAGUAGUAGUAGUAGUGGUAGUAGUAGUAGUGGUAGUAGUGGUAGUAGUAGUGGUAGUAGUGGUAGUAGUGGUAGUAGUAGUGACAAUGAGAUAAGCAGUAUCAACAGCAGUGGCGACAACUGUACAUCUACUGUUGAAGGUGUAAUAAAAAAUGAUAAAAUAGUUAAAGAAGAUGAACAAGCAGAUGAAAUAACUUGCAAUUCAUGUAUUGAAAAAGAUAAUGGAGAAAAAUUAGAAGCGAGCAACACAAAUUAUGAAACAAAUAAAACAACAAAAAAUAAAAAGUCCUUAAAAUUAGAACAUAUACUGCAACAUUCUUAUCUCAAAACAACACAAGGAAAUAGCUUAAAACAGAUAGAAAAAAAUGUAUUAAAUAAAAAACACGAAGUGAUAGAUGAAAAAAACUCUGUUGAAAAACUAACUAACUAUAUAUUCCCAAAUUCGUUUUAUUUUGAAAACAGUAAUACAAUUGAUGAUAACAAUAAUAAAGAUAUUUUGCAAAUUAAUGAUAACAUUAGUAUAGAAAAAAAAAAUAGCGAUAGGAUAGAUGGUACAAAUGAAAAAUAUAUAAAUAAAGACGAAGAAAAAAAUGAUGAAUUGUGUAAUAUAAAGUUAAUAAAAUUAAGUGAAGAUGGAGAUGGAGAUGGAGAUAAAACAGAAAAUGAUCCUACUCCUUUGAUAAAUAUAGAUAAAAUAAAACAACUAGAAGAAGAAAUAAAUAAACAAAAAUUAUUAAUUAAAAAAAAAGAAAGUAAAAUUAUGAAUUCCACAA